rfam:Patagioenas fasciata monilis isolate BTP2013 Sc31e1R_53, whole genome shotgun sequence.
CCAACGGCUCUUUUAAGAGCCACCCAAGCUUUCCCGAAGAAAAGCU